AUAAUAUUAAUAUAUUAAUUUUGCUAUUAUAAAGGAGUUGAUACUCAAGUAAAUCUUUGUAAUUUAUUUAUUGAUAAGUAAAAUUACAUAUAUCCACAAACACAAUACGUUCUUUUCACGGAGUGUAAUAAUGCGAUAAAAUUUGUGAGUGGCGAGGAGAAAAUCCUUGUGUGAUGGAAAUAGAGGGAUACAGGAGGAUUAGUUUAAUCCUCCGGUUUAGUAACUUUUCUACUCGUCGAAGAACGUCACAGAAACGUUCCAUGGCAAACGUGUAGUUUCCGAUCCUACAAUUAUUAAAAAAAAAAGAAUGUAAUUUAUUGAGUUUAUUUAACUCAAAUUGUGUUUCUUUAUCCGUCGUUUCUAUCCGUUCUCUCCAAUCCGAUGGACGUUAUAAAAGGUCAAUUUUUUAAAAUCGAAUUUAGAUACUGACUAAUUCCAUCUAGUGUUGAUUGUUUCUUACAAAGUCAGCGCGUUUUUCUUCUACGUCAGAGAAAUGUAGCGAUAUCGGAGAGAACUUUGAUUUGAGCGUGAAAUCGCUUUGUUUAAGCGUCGACGGAUGUUGGAACGUAAGAUCGAAAACUAAACAGAGUUGCGUGUAGGCGUAUACCCGAGUAUCAAUAUUGCACAUAUGAAUAUUUAUUAAUCGGACCUCUCGCAUGUCUUUAGUUAUUGUUGCAAUAUCAAGGUUUGAAGACGCAAAAUCGAUAGAAUCGUACGAAUCGAUAUUAUACUGAAAGAACUGCAAAAAUAAAGUUUAGUUCCGUUAUUAUUUCCCAUUUCGCCGACUUCUAAAUCCAAACCGCUAUGCAAAGGACGUAUAUAUUUUUUUGUUCCUUAUUUUUUUUUUUCUCUCGUUUCCUCACUUCUCGCGUUUUUCCCUUUUGUCUUUUUUUCUUCUUUAAGCUAAAGUUAAUUAUCUCGGUAGAUAUUUAUUACCUCUUUACAAAAAUCAAUUCUUAAACUUAUACAGGGUGGCUCGAUGCAAAUUCACAAUAUCUUGAAGUCUGAUGACGAUGACAUUGUCAAAUUAACAGACCUAAACUGAUAUGCUUCCAAAGGGGCAUCUCCAGCUACCGUUAGCUUUUUUAUUCCCCGCGGCCAAGGUCGUCGUUAAAAUAACCUAUCCUCUUCCUUCGUUCGCUAUAUAAAAGCAUUAUUAGAUUAUUCACAAUUAGCGCAAUUGAAAAUUCUUUUAUUAUUUCGCAAUCUGCGCCUUCAUUUUCAAAGUGUAUAAACAACCGGAAAACCGAAAUCCGGCGCGCGCCAUUUGAACAGCUAACGAUUGAACCAGGUAGUCAAUGUAUUGUCCCAGGUCAGUAUUCAGACAAAGGCGUGUAAAAAGACAAAGAUACACGCAUACUGACACAAAGCGAUCGUUCAACCCCGCCCUUCUUCAAACUCUGGAAACUCACGAAUGGGAUUUCUCCAUUCGUCCAUUUUUACUACUACGAAAUGCGCGCGCACCGGAAGUUAAUCUUCCAAUUCUUGUGUACAUUUUGAAAAGAAAGCCACAAAUUGAUAAGUGGUAAAUAAAUUUUCUCGUUUCUUUUCAUGUGAAGAUUGUACACAGGGCCGGCCCUGAUUGUACACCUGUAUAUUAUCAACGUAGAUUGAUAAACAUUGUCAGCUCAAAGGUGCUUUAUCAUUAGAGAUACGAUUAGCAAAAACACAUCUGUUAACGUAGGUCAAUCAUUAUAUGAUCGCAUACCACCUUUGUUUUAUUCUCGUUUUUUUCUUUUUUUUUUUUUUUUUUUUUUGUACAACUGAUAGAAAUCACGAUCGAAAGAAAGUACAGUGUCUAGUCUGAACGAAGAAAAAUCAUUAUAACGUGUAUUGUAUACUCUUCAACAUCUGUGAAUUCGUAUCAAGUCAGGUUUUACACACGCGACGUGUCAAUGGUUUCCUUCUCGUUUCAACGACUAUAUGCUAUAGGAAGGCAGCUGCUUCACGUGCGCUUAUAGGAAUCCAAGGAUAUUCAGUGUCCUCUGUUUGCGCAUAUAGCGCUUAAUUUAUUUUUCGCAGAAAUUAAACAAAUACGAUAUAUGUAUAGGUAUAACUAAUUACAACGUUCACAGAAAAUUGGUAAGAGGUUAAGGUCACCUUAAUACUUGUACGGCUAAAGACUGUUGUAAUUGUACAUACAGAACGAUUCGUUCGACUGGAUACGAUUAAAAAUAAUGUACAGUUUAAACGUAAGACAUGCAAAUAAAUCUUGUAUCAUUGAAAGCUAUGCUUUCCCACGCGACCCUGGCUAAAGUGCAGCCUACUACCAUUUGACCAUAUACAAAUAUAUAAGCAUUAAACAUGUAAUAUAUUAUCGUUAUAAUAUAUAUAAUAUAUAUACGCGUUCAUAUAUAUUAUAUAUAAUAUAUAUAAUAUUAUAAUAUAUAUUAAUAUCCUAAGAUAAUUAUUGUAUGAACCAUCUUUCGAAAAGGAACGAUGAAAUGAAAAAGAAAAAUAAAAAUAAAA